UACGUAGGGUGCGAGCGUUGUCCGGAAUUAUUGGGCGUAAAGAGCUUGUAGGCGGUUUGUCGCGUCUGCUGUGAAAUCUCAAGGCUCAACUUUGAGCUUGCAGUGGGUACGGGCAGACUAGGGUGUGGUAGGGGAGACUGGAAUUCCUGGUGUAGCGGUGAAAUGCGCAGAUAUCAGGAGGAACACCGAUGGCGAAGGCAGGUCUCUGGGCCACUACUGACGCUGAGAAGCGAAAGCAUGGGGAGCGAACAGG
rnacentral:rRNA from 1 species